AUUGUACUCCCUCCGUCCCAAAAUUCUUGUCUUAGAUUUGUCUAAAUACGGAUGUAUCAAGUCACGUUUUAGUAUUAGGUACAUCCGUAUCUAGACAAAUCUAUGGCAAGAAUUUUGGGACGGAGGGAGUACCUU
rfam:Triticum aestivum genome assembly, contig: Triticum_aestivum_CS42_TGACv1_scaffold_501605_6BL